CCAUUUAGUUUGGGCAGAGAUAGCUCAUAACACCGUUCACUAUUCUUUGAUUAACAUGUCUCCUUUUGAAUGUCAAUUUGAGUUUAAGUCUCCUCUCUUUCCCAAACAGGAAGUGAGAAUUCUGUUCCAUCUGCUAAACAGUUCGUUGAGCGCUGUUGACAGACACAACAGGCGUGUUCCCACACAGGUCCGACAAAGAGCUUGAAAAAGCAGCAAGUUUUUCGAUGGGAGCAGUUGAUUGGAGUACUGCGCAGACACAGCAGGAGUGUUACCGCGCAGGUCCGACAAACAUUUUCGGUGGGAGAUCCAGUUUCUACAAAGGCGAGGUACUACUGAGUGCAGCGGCCAUCAUGGGAGUAGAAAGGCUUUGGCUCAACAAGGCUUUGGUGACAACAGGCAGAAUCUAGGGUUCUUUUGAAGAUCCUGACCUGGAGUUACAUGCUGACUUCGGUUCUUUGCGGGAAUGGGACACGCUCUAGGGGUUUCAUGACUGGCCGUUAUUCGAUAUGCCAAGGAUGCGGCCUAGGAGAUUAGCUCACCUUCGGAGUUCCGGGAUUUUGUGGCCCAGGAGAUGGGUGGACCGAAGGAGCAAGGGAUUCGUGGGCUUUUAUUCGGCAGAAGAUGGAGAGAGAAGAUGCCCGACGGAGAGUUCGGAGACUGAAUUACGGAUUGGACUUGGAAUGGGGUCGGAAGUUGACAACGCCUGGGGGAAAUCGAUGAAGAAUGAAUGGAUGGGAAAAUUGUGAGCUCCAACGUGUGCAUUAGAUUGUUUCUUUAAAAUGGGCUCUUUUUGUUUUCUUUGUUAACCCUGUAGUCAAAUUUAGAAUU